AAUACUGGCUUGGAGUUGAUACCAUAUCAUCUAAAACCAUAAGCCCUGCCCCGCCCCCCAUCAAAAAAUCUCUGAAGCUGAUUCUUUUGUCUCAGUAAUGAAUAUCUGACUAACACAGUGCAGUUUCCAGAGAGUAUACUAAUUUCCAAUAAGGUAGAGUAUUCUAACAAGGGGAAAUAGAAAACUUUUUAAAAGAUGGCUUUAAAAAAAUAAGUAAUAAAACCAAAGACUCUAACUAUUAACUAGCCUAUGGUAUUUCAUCUUAGAUCUUGUUUUCUUUAUCAGAGAAAGCAUCCUUUAAGAUUGCAUGGGGUAUUUUAAUAGAAUGUGACUUUUUCUUAUCACCAAACUUUCUCUUCUUCUUAGCCACACUGAAUAUGUACACUAAAACAGUUGCUCUUUGGUUAACGACAGCAGUGACCAGUUAUAUAACUACACAGAAAUCUCCCUUUCAAAUCCUUCCAUCAGAGUCUAUGUGACUGCCCGAUGUGCACUGCAUCAGAUACUCCAGCAUCGUUGCAGGCUGCCUCAAACGCUGUCCAUUUAGAAGACAGAUCAGAAGUACCAGCCCUGCCAUUCUUAGGUUUGCAAUUUAAGUGUAAAAUCUUGCCAGAGUGGCAAUCCGUUGAAACAAAACAGUCCUGGAAAUUAGGCACUAAUUUCCCUUCAAAUGGACAUUUCUGGUUCUUUCCUUUCUAAUUACCAUUAUAAUGAAGUGGCCCUGAAUUAUGGGAGGAAGCGGUUUCAAAGGCAGCAAUCUCUUAUUAUGAAUCAUACACUUGAUUUUCUACCCUAAUGGGAAUCAGCCUUAGCUAUAAAGCAUGCACGUGCAAACCCCCUCUCCACUGAGACUGCAAUGGUCCCAGAACUGCAAAUCCUUCUUUCACUAAUUGUUGGCUCAGAGAAUGAAUAGGCUUGUAAGCUUUGCACUAUAGCAAAGCUGGGGACAACCACCCUGAUCUUCAUGACAGCAUCGUUUGCAAUCCUUCAUAUUUGUUGCUCCUGACGACAGUUUCAGUACCUUAAAACACUGUUGUGUUAAUACAAUAAAACCUGCUUGUCUCAGAAAACCAAGGGCUUUGGUCUGACCACACCCUCCCGGACCACACCCCUCAGUCCUUCCUACUUUAACAUGGGUACCUCCCUUUUUAUAUUACCUGCCAAAGUGAACUAUCUGCUUCCAUCAAUUUAAAUGGAAUUUCUCACUUUGACUGUAUCUCCACAUGGACUUCUGGUCCUGUGUCUCCCUAAGUUUAUCUUAAAUUAAACUCUUCUCAAUAUGCCACUGUUCUUGGUCUAUGUAUUGCAGGAUAGUGGUCUUAGACAUCUUAUUAAACUGAUAUUACAAUGAUUUAUUCCAGUGAAAUAAUGAUAAAUGCUCACCCAACUGCUUGGUAUCAGUGAUGUCAAACAUAAAUAGGAAUGGUAUCACAAACAAGCUAAGACAUCGAUGUGCUGAGUCUGCAGUUUAAAAUGCUAGGGAACUCCUAAACAGCAAACCGUAGAAAGUUUUGUCCGUGGCAAUUGCUCCUUUGUGCAGCGGGGGAUCUCAUAAAAUUGGCUGUAGGAAACAGACAACACUAGCCUGCUAGCAGCACUCGUACUAUUGAGAACUGGUGGUAGACAAAAGGAGUCAGUCUCUUUUCCCUGGGCAGUCCUAUGUCUGUUAGAACUUGAAUGUGUUUUCUAUGGUCAUUCUUCGGUCCACAGCAUGGCUUGAUUGGAGAUGCAUUUCCUGUGGCUUCAUGGGAGGAGAAAAUGCAAUGUGUACCUUGUAAGAAAACUACCUCUAUGUUUUUGUUACGUUUUUAUUUAAGCAAGGCAGAGGUUCUUGGAGGCACAAGAUGUUUAAGUACAAUCCCUGCUGCUUAACAGUUGAAGGGGGAUUGUUAAUUUUUUUUUUUUGAGAUCCUGCAGGGAGAUGGAGAAUUAUGGGAUUAAAUGUGUUAAGUGUAUAUAAAUCUUUACAUCUUGUAGUCACUGCAUAUGUCCACACAAAUGUUUGUUGAUAGUCAGGAGAUUCACUAAUAUUUUACCCCAAUACCUGAUGAUAGGCAUCACACAGGU
rnacentral:lncRNA from 1 species